GACAGAGGGUGCAAACGUUGUUCGGAAUUACUGGGCAUAAAGAGCACGUAGGCGGUCCGUAAAGUCGCGCGUGAAAUCCCCCGGCUCAACCGGGGAAUUGCGCGGUGAUACUGGCGGGCUUGAGAUCGGUAGGGGUGAGUGGAACUCCAGGUGGAGCGGUGAAAUGCGUAGAUAUCUGGAGGAACACCGGUGGCGAAAGCGGCUCACUGGACCGAUACUGACGCUGAGGUGCGAAAGCUAGGGUAGCAAACGGG
rnacentral:rRNA from 1 species